AUUGAACGCUGGCGGCAUGCUUUACACAUGCAAGUCGAACGGCAGCGCGGGCUUCGGCCUGGCGGCGAGUGGCGAACGGGUGAGUAAUGCAUCGGAACGUGCCCAGUAGUGGGGGAUAGCCCGGCGAAAGCCGGAUUAAUACCGCAUACGACCUGAGGGUGAAAGCGGGGGACCGAAAGGCCUCGCGCUAUUGGAGCGGCCGAUGUCGGAUUAGCUAGUUGGUGGGGUAAAGGCUUACCAAGGCGACGAUCCGUAGCUGGUCUGAGAGGACGACCAGCCACACUGGGACUGAGACACGGCCCAGACUCCUACGGGAGGCAGCAGUGGGGAAUUUUGGACAAUGGGGGCAACCCUGAUCCAGCCAUGCCGAGUGCGGGAAGAAGGCCUUCGGGUUGUAAAGCGCUUUUGUUCGGGAAGAAAUCCUCUGGGCUAAUACCCCGGGGGGAUGACGGUACCGGAAGAAUAAGCACCGGCUAACUACGUG
rnacentral:rRNA from 1 species